GAAUCUUCCACAAUGGACGAAAGUCUGAUGGAGCAAUGCCGCGUGAGUGAAGAAGGUUUUCGGAUCGUAAAACUCUGUUGUGAGGGAAGAACAAGUAUGAGAGUAACUGCUCGUACCUUGACGGUACCUCAUUAGAAAGCAACGGCUAACUACGUGCCAGCAGCCGCGGUAAUACGUAGGGGGCAAGCGUUGUCCGGAAUUAUUGGGCGUAAAGCGCGCGCAGGCGGUUCUUUAAGUCUGAUGUGAAAGCCCACGGCUCAACCGUGGAGGGCCAUUGGAAACUGGAGAACUUGAGUACAGAAGAGGAAAGCGGAAUUCCACGUGUAGCGGUGAAAUGCGUAGAGAUGUGGAGGAACACCAGUGGCGAAGGCGGCUUUCUGGUCUGUAACUGACGCUGAGGCGCGAAAGCGUGGGGAGCAAACA
rnacentral:rRNA from 1 species